CUGUUGUAUGAAAGGAGAGUAGGUUAGCACUCCCCUUGACAAGGAUAGAAGAGGCCCUUGGGCCUGAUAACAUGCAUAUGGUUAAAACAUUGACACCUACUUCAUGACAUUUAACCACUGUUUUUC
ensembl:snRNA